rnacentral:rRNA from 1 species
CCCUGUCCUGUGUUGCCAGCAUGUAAAGAUGGGAACUCACAGGAGACUGCCGCGGAGAACGCGGAGGAAGGCGGGGAUGACGUCAAGUCAUCAUGCCCCUUAUGACCUGGGCUACACACGUACUACAAUGGGAUGUACAGAGGGCAGCGAAGCCGCGAGGCGGAGCGAAUCCCAUAAAACAUCUCCCAGUUCGGAUUGCAGGCUGAAACCCGCCUGCAUGAAGUCGGAAUCGCUAGUAAUCGCAGGUCAGCAUACUGCGGUGGAUACGUUCCCGGGCCUUGUACACACCGCCCGUCACACCACGAAAGUCAUUCACACCCGAAGCCGGUGGGUUAACCGCAAGGGGAUAGCCGUCUAAGGUGGGGGCGAUGAUUGGGGUGAAGUCGUAACAA